rnacentral:rRNA from 1 species
UGCCAGUGACACUAGUUCAACGGCCGCGGUAUCCUAACCGUGCGAAGGUAGCGUAAUCACUUGUUCUUUAAAUGAGGACUAGUAUGAAUGGCAUCACGAGGGCUAUACUGUCUCCUUUUUCUAAUCAGUGAAACUAAUCUUCCCGUGAAGAAGCGGGAAUUCACCUAUAAGACGAGAAGACCCUAUGGAGCUUUAAAUUUUUCUUCAACUGCCCUACUCCUUCUAAAGUUUACACUUUUCACAACAACUUCGGCAUUAUGAGGAUAAAUUUUAGGUUGGGGUGACCGCGGAGCAUAGUAAAACCUCCACACUGAACCGAGCCUAUAAACUCUGAGCAAAGGACAACAACCCAAUGCACUAACAUAUUAACAUUCAUUGACCCAAUAAUUUUGAUCAACGAACCAAGUUACCCUAGGGAUAACAGCGCAAUCUGCUUCAAGAGUUCAUAUCGACAAGCAGGCUUACGACCUCGAUGUUGGAUCAGGGUAUCCCAGUGGUGCAGCCGCUACUAAUGGUUCGUUUGUUCAACGAUUAAAACCCUACGUGA